GCCUAGCCCAGAUAGAAGCGGUAUCCUUUUUCUGGUCUCGUUCCUAAAAACGAGACCAGGAAAAGAUACAAGCGGAUAGCUGGAAAUUGC
rnacentral:sRNA from 1 species